UCUCUUACAGGUCUCCCCGUCCAGGGCCUUCAGUGAGGGGACGUCUGUGAAUGCAAAGUCUGUUACGUUCUGUUCUGCCAAAAGCUCUCAGUGCUGAGGCCUGUCCCACACAUGUCACCGGGAAUGACGUUGGCUUUAAUGGUGCCUGUUGUUUGAACUCUCCUCGGUCGGCUCUGUUGGGACCGCCUCUGUUUUGGCCAAAGUGUGAGUGAAAACCAGCUGCCUUGUGGAGAGAGGGCUUUCUCAGCCCCAGCCACUGUUUCUGGGCCCUUUGUCGGCCCUGCAGGUGGUGUAUUGGCUGAGAUGCCCUUGGACAGUGGGGAGGGGCCCUCAUGAGGCUGCAGGGCCGGUGGCUCUUGCAGGCAACAGCUUAGGAGGCUGUGGCCACGGGUGUCUGCACACGCUGGGCUCGAGCACUGGUGGAUGGUGGACACGCUCAUGCUCACGCGCUCUCACACAGCCGCUCACACAGAUGCACCCUUGUUCUCAGUUUGUUCUAAUUGGUGCUUCAGCUCUUUUCUCCUUUUCACUGAAUUAUUUAUUGAGGCAAAUACUCCGAAGUAUAACCCAGAGUUUAUGUUGGUCAUCUUCUUACAUAUCCUUAUGGUUCACCUAUGAGUUUAUUGGAAAAUUAGCAACAUACACAUCAUUUUAGGAAGUGGAAAAUGAGGCUGCAUGAGUGAGAGAAUUCACUGUAACGUGGUGAAGAAACAGCGCACGUGCCAAGUAGCUUCGCCAGCAACGCAUUCUGCCCAGUGGAAAUAAAUUACUUGUAUAAAUAG